UGGGGAAUAUUGGGCAAUGGGCGAAAGCCUGACCCAGCAACGCCGCGUGAGGGAAGAAGGUUUUCGGAUUGUAAACCUCUGUCUUUGGGGACGAAAAAAAUGACGGUACCCAAGGAGGAAGCCCCGGCUAACUACGUGCCAGCAGCCGCGGUAAUACGUAGGGGGCGAGCGUUGUCCGGAAUUACUGGGCGUAAAGGGUGCGUAGGUGGCCUUUUAAGUUGGAUGUGAAAUCCCCGAGCUUAACUUGGGGGGUGCAUCUAAUACUGGAGGGCUAGAGUGCAGGAGAGGGAAGCGGAAUUCCUAGUGUAGCGGUGAAAUGCGUAGAUAUUAGGAGGAACACCAGUGGCGAAGGCGGCUUUCUGGACUGUAACUGACACUGAGGCACGAAAGCGUGGGGAGCAAACA
rnacentral:rRNA from 1 species